rnacentral:lncRNA from 1 species
AAUAUUCCAUGGUGUUUCAGUUCAGUUUGUUGUGGAAUAGGAGGGUUCUGGCAACCUGAGGCAGCUCUGGUGCCAUGGAGGACCACUUACUGCUACGAAGUUUUACUGUAUACAAGUCCUGGAGAAGCUGUGUGAGGCCAUGUCAGUAUUGCCUGGAGACGUGAGACUCAUAUCAGACCGUUAAGGCUUAGCAUGGGAGAUGGCGGCAAUAGGAAGAGUUGACUGAGGAAGGAAAUUAGGAGAAAUUUCACCAAUGAAGCCCAAGGAUCUGGGUAAAGCAGAAAAGGCUGGAGAUGCCAGGCAAUCAUCAAAGCAGCAUGAAGGAAUAAUCAGAUCACCAGGGACAGACUGGCAACCGUUCAGAGCUGACAAAAGAGCCACCUUGAAUUCAGGCAUGCGGAUAGUUGGAGAUGACAGAUUUUAUAUCUUUACUAGCUAAUAUCUAAUGUUCUAAAUAAACU